UACGGAGGGGGGCUAGCGUUGUUCGGAAUUACUGGGCGUAAAGCGCACGUAGGCGGCUUUGUAAGUUAGAGGUGAAAGCCCGGGGCUCAACUCCGGAAUUGCCUUUAAGACUGCAUCGCUAGAAUUGUGGAGAGGUAAGUGGAAUUCCGAGUGUAGAGGUGAAAUUCGUAGAUAUUAGGAAGAACACCAGUGGCGAAGGCGGCUCACUGGCCCGGUACUGACGCUCAUGUGCGAAAAGCGUGGGGAGCAAACAGG
rnacentral:rRNA from 1 species